CAGCCGCCGCGGGAAUACAGAGGGUGCGAGCGUUAAUCGGAUUUACUGGGCGUAAAGCGUGCGUAGGCGGCUUUUUAAGUCGGAUGUGAAAUCCCUGAGCUUAACUCAGGAAUUGCAUUCGAUACUGGGAAGCUAGAGUAUGGGAGAGGAUGGUAGAAUUCCAGGUGUAGCGGUGAAAUGCGUAGAGAUCUGGAGGAAUACCGAUGGCGAAGGCAGCCAUCUGGCCUAAUACUGACGCUGAGGUACGAAAGCAUGGGGAGCAAACAGGAUUAGAUACCCCUGUAGUCCCUGUCUCUUAUAC
rnacentral:rRNA from 1 species